rnacentral:lncRNA from 1 species
GUCGAAACUGUUCCAAUAAGUAAAACUUGAUGCAAUUUGUAUAUAGGCAACACAUUGCUUUGAAACCAAAUAGAUUAAGAUAACAGUUCAAAUUACAGAAUUCCAAAUGAUACAAGAUGCAAUACUUAUUUAAAGCCUUAUAAUUAUAUUAUAUAGCAUCAUUUCAUUGCCCCAGAUAAAUAAUACAGCAGGCGAAUUCUUCAUUCAUGUUAAUUAUUAUCUUCAUUCUAGCACAGUCGCUUCGUGCCACAGCUCAAACUAGCUCUGAAUGGCAACCUCAACUGGAGAAGCUUCCAAUGGUAUAAUCUUCUCAAAUUCUACAGGUUUGUUGACCAAGGUUUUCUGGUUUUCGUAAGCUGAAUCAUGAACUCCAAGUGCUGCUCUACCAGAAGGAUCAAGGUUCUUGGACCAAGAAGCAUCCCACUCAACAGCCUUAGCUGUGCUACAUGCAACAGUUGGUCCUCCAGGAACAGUUAGCCUUGCUGAGUUCUGCAAAACAAUUAAAAAAAUCAUCAAUAUUUUAAUCAACCCUUGUUAAAUUAUGUUGUCUUAUGGUCUACGAAGCACUGACACAGACACAAACACCAAAUACGACCUGAUACUGACACGUAAACACCAGUAAUGAUUUAAGAAUAUAGAAGUGAUUGAAUGUAAUCAUAUAUGUCAGCGGCCAACACCAUCACGUGUCAAACACCAUAUACACCUUUAAUCUGAAGUAGCAGUGCUACAAAGCUUAUAUCGUUACAACCGAUUAAAAAGAGUUGAUUGAAUAACUUGCCUGGGGGAAGAACCUCUCAAAGAUCAUUCUGUAGUAGUAUGCUUCCUUGGUGUUUGGGGUGUUGUGGGGGUAGAUAUUGCCAGCAUUAAGCAUCAUCCUAUCAGUCACCUAAUGGAAAAUGUGAAGAACCAAUUAUAAGUAACAUAAACUUUGUGACAAUAGAAAACUCCAUCACUAAAUUGUAGAGUAAAAAGGUUGGAUUCAAAUACAUGUUUUGCAGCAUGAGCUUUAAGGCCAUCAAUCCAACUAUAACCAACACCAUCACUGAAUUGUUCCUUCUGCCUGUAUAAAAUGUGCUGCAUGAAAAUGAAUGUUUCAAUGUUAGUUUCGCAAACCAAUUUUGCAUAAAUCAAUAGACAUUGCAGCAAAUUACUUAGUAGUACCUUUGGCAGAUAAGGAUUCUCUUCAUCAUCGAAGGCCUUCCUCAGAAUAUACUUCUCAAUUCGUCCUUCAUCUUUUUUUAUCUGCACGUUUUAAACAAACCAGCUUAGUUAGUACCCGCGAAAACAUUUCCUGUUUUCCAAGAUUUGUACAAGAAACACUAAAAACAACUAUUAUGUUUUCGGUAUUUCAUGUAGAAUUAUUGAAUCAACAGAGUAACACUAAUUACUCAUACCAUUUUAUUCUCAGGAUCAAUAUUCAUUGCAACAUUGAUAAACUCCUUGUCCAAAAAUGGAACUCUGGCUUCUAGACCCCAAGCAAAGGUUGAUUUAUUUGCUCUCUGGCAAUCAUAUUGGUGGAGUGCUUUGAUCUGCAUAUGAAAAAGUAAAAAAAUACAUCUAUUAAUCAUUAUACUUCAACUUCUUUUAUUAUUUUCUAACAUUGAACUUCAUAAUUCUAAAUUAAAUGACCUUGCGGCAUGUUUCUUGGUGGAACUCUUCCUUGUUUGGUGCCUUGUGAAAGUACAGAUAUCCACCAAAUAUCUCAUCAGAUCCUUCACCAGAGAUCACCCAUUUGACACCAAGUGAUUUAAUCUUCCUUGACAUAAGAAACAUAGGUGUACUUGCUCUAAUUGUAGUCACAUCAUAUGUUUCAACAUGGUAUAUAACAUCCUCAAUUGCAUCUAUACCAUCCUAUAUAACAUAAAACUAUAUAUUAAUCAUUUCAUAAUCUCGAUUUCAAAAAUUGAAGUAGCCCUAACUGUAAGCUAAAAAAGUACUAUUUCAAGCAGUGUUUUUAGAACCAGACUGUUGGUUGGUUCAAUCGGUUCUUUUUAAUACUUAUUUAACAGUCAACCGAUUAAAUCAUUUGAACCAUGACCUAGAAGGUUUCGUCGGUUCGAUCUCUAGUCAAAUUUUUAAAACAUUGAUUUCAAGCAGUUACCUGAACAGUAAAGGUAAACUCAUGGUGAACAGUUCCAAGGUAAUCUGCAACUUCUUUUCCAGCCUUAAGAUCAGGUGAGCCCUAUUUGAAAUUAGAAGACAAGAUAUUAAGACAACAUUGAAGGUAUUCUUUUUAAAAAUAAAAGAAUUACAUAAAGUUUGCGAAAGUGAUUCAAAAAUUUAAGUGUAUAUAUGCACCUCAAGGCCAACGCAGAAUGAGUGUAAUUUUGAUCCCCAUUGUUCAGCAGCUUUAGUGGUUGCUAGGUAGCGAGAAGUGAUGGAUGCAACCAAUGAUGAGUCCAAACCUCCAGAUAGUAGAACACCAAAAGGCACAUCAGUCAUCAACCUCUUUAUCACUGCCUGUAAUCACAACCAACCAAGAGGUAAGUAAAAUCUAACCAAAAAUUGUUUAAGUCAGAAAUUGAACUUGAACACUCUCGACCAAUACAUUUUAUCUUUUCUAGUCAAACGAGGUUUGACGACAAAAUCAACUGACAUAAACCAUAUACUAAUGUUUUCACUAAAAUCAUAUAUGACAUGACGCAAGAUCAAUCAUGUUAACUAUGCACCGUAAGUCUAAAACUUUCAAUCCAAUUAUGUGCUAUGAUUUUUAUGAAUCAUACCUUCUCAAAGGCAUGCCUCAAAGCUAGAGGAUCAUAAGGAGCUGAUGGAAUAGCCUCAGAGUACCAGGGAGGAUUGUACCAUCUUCUAAAUCCACCAUCUUUGCUAGAGUACAAAUGACCAGGUGGAAAACACUCAAAAUGUUCACAAUCAUCAUUCAAGGCUUUCAUUUCUGAUGAAAUCCAAACAGAACCUGAAUCCAGACACAUUCCAAAACAUGUUCAAAUACAAACUCAAAAAAUCCAUAAAUUAAAUUAUAAGAUAAGAUAUAACAUAACAUUACCAUCCAAUCCCCAACCAAUGUAUAGGGAAGUUACUCCUAUAGCAUCUCUAGCCACUAUGUAACUGUUAUCACGAGUAUCCAAUAGAACAAAGGAAAAGAUACCAUCCAACUUGUCCACAAAGUCUUCUCCAUAUUCCUCGUACUAAUCAAAAGUUUAACAUCAGUAACAAACAGUUCAUAAGCACAUGUUUAAUCAAGAAUCCAAACCAAACAAAUUAUUACAUCAAAGAUUACUAACCAAGUGUGCAAUAACAUCACAAUCACUUCCCGUUCGGAAUGUGUGAUUAGACAGCUGUUUCCUGAGAGCUUCAUGGUUGUAAAUCUCUCCAUUUACCUGAUUUUCCAAUAAUGACAGAAUUUACCAACAUUAAAUUAGUAAAGUACUAACAUAAUCAUUAUUGUUAUGGACACUCACAUAGACAUGAACAUUAGAUACGACAAUGACACUGACACGUAAAUAUCAAUGAUAACAUAAAAAUGACUGCAUAUUAUCACAUGUGUUAGCGUUGUAUCUAUACUGUUGUUGUCUGACACUCACGCCUUCAAUAUAAAGCGUCGAUGCUACAUGUGUUGUAAUUGAUUUAGCAUAUGUCAUAUAAAUGGCCUACCGUGACAAUGACAGAUUUGUCUUCAUUAAAGAGAGGUUGAUCCCCAGAAGCAGGAUCAACUAUGGCUAACCGUUGGUGUGCCAAAAAGCAGUCACCAUGUUGGUGGAGCCCACUCCAAUCAGGGCCACGGUGCUUCAAUCUGUUACGUCAACAAACAAAUAAUCAAUAAUCAAUCAAUUAUCCAUAUUCAGACACAUUAAACUAAAGGACAAUAAUAUUCUUUCAAUGUUACUAUGUCACCACAUAUUUUUUUAAUAAAAUUACAUUUUAUAUGAGUUGAGUUUGGACUUUACAAUGUUGUAGCAUAUAUUACGCACCACCUAGAAAAUCUUUAUAAGAUGAGUCACAUAAUUAAUAAUUGAACCAAUAUUAGUUUAUCAAAAAAUAAAACUUGAGCUUAUGAAAAAUGUAACUUUCAGUAGAUAUAUUCUAUUCGAUUAAGUAUUAUCAUAUGGAAAAAAGAAUAUAGUUCUACAAUUAUUUAACUCCUUUUAAUCUUUUGUUGUUCAAUUGUCAUUGCUCCUUUGAAUUGUUCAUAGUUCCCACUACAAAAUUUACCAAUAAUUCCAUUUCAAACUGGACCCCACAUACCACUUGUUGGUCCUAAUUGAUAAACAAUCAGUGAUCUGAUUGGAAUAUAUAUUGCCCUCUUAUCUUAUAAAAUUCUUGUUGUUUAAUCUAACUUGAUGGGCAUGGUGACCCAAUAUAAAGUUACCAUGGUUAAUUAAACUAAUUAAAAAAUUUAAAAUAAACAUUCUAUGUUCUCUAUAAUAAAUUAAAGAGUGACUUUUAAAUAAAGUGGAGUGUUAUGAUUACAACUGUUGAAGUUAUAAUCAUAUUAUAUAUAAAUAAAUUAUAAAAUUAGUUAAAAACUUCAAUCAUUGGUUAUUUUUAAUUAAUGAAUAUGACAUGUCUCUUUUUUUAGUCUAAUUACAAAUAUGACGAUUGAAACAAGGAAUAUGGAUUAUGUCACUUGGGUCCCACGUUUAUUCUUAAUCAUCAUCCAAAAUGACAAGAUCAUCACGACCCUGCUAAACAAAGAGUAUUAUUCUGUCUUGCUAUCCAAAUCAGCCACUCUUAACAAGGAAUUUGUUGCUGCACAUAGUAAUAUUCAGCACCAAUUUGCAAAUAGAAACACCCAAAAAGUCAUGGUUGGAUAUAAAUUUAUCCAUAUUAUCUAAUAUAUUUUAUUUAAUAAUUAAAGUCUUCCUGAUUGAUUUUAGAAAGUCCAUAAUGAAAAGCUAAGUAAAUACAAUUAAGAAUGAACAAUUUGAUCUGCAAAAUUUAACAAAUUUUAAUGAAAAAUAAACAAACAUUCGUUCACAUUAGUCUUUUUGCAUCGGUCCAUUUAUUUUUUAUAUUGUCGUGAACGACUAAUGUGAUCAAGAAUUUUUCAAAUCUAAUCAGGUCGAAACCACUAUAAUUGGUCUAGUAGUAAAAGAUUUAGAUAGUAAACAUAUGAUUUUGAUGCACGAUCAAUAUACUAUUACACUCUCAAUUAAUCACAAGAUCGUGUGCAUGGUUUUGAAGUUAGAUAUGAUGAAAGUUAAACUUUGGUUACAAUUGAUUAACGGUGUAAAAAAUCUUUAUACCGACCAGUGCAUAUAGAUUAAAUCCGACAAAAGUAUCAUGUGUAAAACAUGAAAUUAAGAAUACAAGAAUAGAAAGAGAAUAAUUGCCUGCGUGAAAGCUCAAGGACACGAACCCUCUUAGCUCUAGUAGGAUCAGAGCAACCAAGCACAGCAAGAAUACCACACAUUGUAGUAUAUGUUUAUAUGAUGAAGAAAUCAAAGAGAGAAAUAAUUUAGAAUAAGCUUAGCUUAGUUAGAAUAAAGAAGAAAAGAUAAGUGAAGAACACAACCACAUGUAGUAGUUGUAGUAAUGGUUUUGAAAUUGAAGGC